AUGAUUGUUAAUCAUUCAUUUGCAGUCUACAAGUUGAUACCAAUUUCUCCUUCUCAUAUUCACAACGAAGUGACUUAUCAACCCAUAACAAAUGUUAUUGAAACAACAAUUUACGUAUGUAUCAAAUUGUCAAAUUUAAGUUUUGUAUAUUGAUGGUUCUAUUACAUAAAAUAUUCAUUGGUUUUUUUAUUAAAUCUCUUUUCCAAUUAAAACCCGAUAAUUCAAUUCAGAUUAUUUUAUUUCAGUUCGAUUUUUCGCAAUCCAAACCAACCAGCAUAAGCCUUCCAUGUUUCAAUUCAAGUUUCUGCAGUGUAACUACUAUCAGUUUCUGUACCGCUACCACUCUGCCUCUCUUACUCCUCUUCUUCGCUCUUAAUCUCUCUCCUCCAAAUCCUGAUCGAAGAUCCAAAGAUCGUUAAUUCUUCUUCAACUGAAUUCAUGGUACUUGACUAUUUGAUUUUCAGUACUAAGAAUUUUCUCAAGUUUGCUGCACAACUGCAUUAAUGGUAUGAAUUCUUUUCAGAGUAAGGGGUUCUGGGUCUCGAAGGAUGGUGGGUGUUUAACCGACGGGGAGUUAACUUAUGAUAAUACCUCUAGAAUCGAACCCAAGCGCCCACACCAAUGGUUUAUUGACGGUGGCGAGGCUGGGUAUUUACCGAACAAGAAACAAGCUGUAGAAGUUCCUGGUAGCAAUUUAUUUGCUGGAAUACCGGCCUCGACUCUUUCGCCUUGGGGAAGUGUGUCGGGUUUCAAUUCUGUUCCUAGUCAAUUCACUGAACAGUUAUUUGAUACUGAUGCUGCUAGAUCAUCUAGUUUUGAUGAGAGAAAUAUUGCAUCUGACAGUAUAGGUACUUUGAAUAUGGGAAGAAAGGUUAUGGAUGACCCAUUUGGGAAUACUUCGCCAUCUGGUCUGUCUAUGUCUCAUUCAUUGGAAAAUGCCAAGUCAGGAAUUAACUAUGGUGGGAUCAGGAAAGUGAAAGUUAGUGAAGUAAGAGACCCUGAAAACCUAUUGCCUUUGUCUUCUGGACCUUAUACUAGGGAAUUAGACGGUGCUAUUUCGACUGCUCAUGGUUAUGGCAAGGUGGAUGAUAGUGGUAUAUCUAUGGGUCUGACAUAUGGUCGAGAUGAGGAAAAUGUUGUAACAGUUGCGGAAUCUUAUGGAAGGGAAGGUGGCAAUUUAAUAUCAAUGAGCCAAUCUUUUAGCAAAGAUACUUGCAACACAAUGGCACUGGGGCAUUCCUAUAAGGCUGAUGGUAGCACUUUGCCGAUGGUGAGUUCAUUUAGUGGAUCUGAUUGUAACAUCAUUCCGAUGGCUGAGAACUUUAGUAAGGGAGACAACAAUGUCAUUUCCAUGGGAAAUCUCAGCAAAGGGGACGAUAUGAUCUCCAUAAGUCAUACAUAUAAAGGUGAUAGCUCCAUCUCGGUGACAAACAAUUACAAUAAUGUUGAUGACAGCACCACAACAAUUGCUCCAUCGAACAACAAGUGUGAAAGCCAUGUGUUAUCCAUGAGUCACUCAUUCAACAAGGGGGACAGUAACAUAAUAUCCUUUGGUGGUUAUAAUGAUGAUGAUGAUGCAAAUGCUUCAGGGAAACUCAUAUGCAAUUAUGACUUGCUAAUGGGGCAGCCUUCCAUUCAAAGGUCUGACAUGUUAAACCAGAAGGACAUGACUAUCUCAAAUGCUAAUGCAGCUAUAGUUGCUGCUCAGGUUGUCGCUUCUGGAGCAGAUAAUGCCUCUAGGAAGAAAGAAGACAUCAAAACAACGAAAAAGACACCUCCCAAUAAUUUCCCUUCAAAUGUGAGAAGUUUGCUUUCCACUGGUAUUUUGGAUGAGGUUCCUGUGAAGUAUAUUGCUUGGUCAAGAGAGAAGGAGCUCCGUGGUAUCAUAAAAGGUUCUGGAUAUCUUUGUGGAUGUCAAUCAUGCAACUUUUCUAAGGUUAUUAAUGCUUAUGAGUUCGAGCGGCAUGCUGGUUGCAAAACCAAACACCCCAACAAUCACAUUUACUUUGAGAACGGGAAAACCAUUUAUGGCAUUGUUCAAGAGCUUAGGAAUACUCCACAGAAUAUGCUGUUUGAUGUUAUACAAACAAUAACAGGUUCACCCAUCAAUCAAAAAUCCUUCCGACUUUGGAAAGAAUCUUUCCUGGCUGCAACCCGGGAACUUCAGCGCAUUUAUGGUAAGGAUGAGCGGAAUCAAUCGUUGUAAACUCAUUUGCAGUUGCAGUAUGGGUAUUGGUAACUGGCGCAGGGCUCUUGAAGUGUCAAGGUACAAGGGGUAGUUAUUCUAUGUAAGUUACCAAUCUAUUCCUCUGAAAGCAUGGCUGGGGAAAGAGCUAUGAUCUCCUUACUCUAACUUGUGUAAAGGUUAAUGGCUCAGCAGAUAUGUUCUGCUGUUACCUCUCACAUAAGAAUAUCAUGAAUAUCAUAGGAUUACUGGUGAUGUUUUUAUAUGCCUCGCGAUCUUUAUUCCCUGGAUGUUCUAGUGCAAGGUUUAUGUUGAUGCUAGUAACAAUGGAAUUUGGGGUUUGAUUAAUGCAUGCUUUGGUAGCAAGUUCAAAACCUGAUAGUGCAACUCCAGGUCCUGUAUACUCUCUGAUAAAUAUGGAAAUGUUGCAUACGAGAUAGAUGCAUGAUCAAAGUGCACUGUUGCUCCCUCCCUGAUUUUGCUUCUAUUGUCGGUUGGGUCACUCUCCUACAAGAUAUAGAUUAUUGAUGCACAAAGAACCGAGUAGCUUCAACCAUUCUAGUUUUCAUGCUGCAUUCAUGUUGUUCAUGUUAUAAGGAGAAUUUGAACGUUCAAGUGAAACAGGACUGGCUUGAAGAUGAUAUUAAGCAGAUUUUAUGUGUGGCAGUAUGAAUAGAGUGUGUAAUAUUUUAUGCGAGGCAGUACGAAUAGAGUUUGGAAGCUCUAAAAUAGUUUGCUCACUCCUUGGCUUCAUGGAAGUGAAUUUUAGUUUGAAAUUAAGCUUUAGAGACCCAGGAUUCACUGACAUCAUAAGAAGGCACUUGAAAGUUAUGGUAGCUUGUUUCAUGCUCAGAAGUAUAGAAAUGAGAUUGAAAAUGUGCUCUCUUCACAAAGUGAACUUAUUAGAAUUUACUAGAACUUAUUGAAGUUAAGUUCAUGAUGUACUAGAAUUUAUUGGAACUUAUUAGAUCUGAAAAGUGUUUUCUUAAUGUAAAGAGAGCGCAUCUCCAAAAGGAGAUGGUAUUUGAAUCCUAGACCUCAAGGUUAUGAACCUCAUAACCUCAAGCUCACGAGUUUGCGAGUGACGAAGCUAUUGUAGAGGGUGCAGAAGAAAGGUCCGGAACGGAUGGUGUAGGUGCAAUGAGAAAAAAAGUUGUUUACUUUUCUAGCUUCAAGGAUGUGGUGUUGGCAGAUGUGAGGAGAUUUAGAUCCCAAUGUCUGUCUAUUUGUGUUUUUAAUAUGUUCAAGUAAUUGCCUUUUGUUGACUUUUUAAAUUUGCUAACAGUCUUAUAUGUCUGAUGUAAUGCAAAUCUGUAAUGUUUUGAAGAGAGCACAUUAA